rnacentral:pre_miRNA from 1 species
AGCAUUUUGAACCCGUACUGAGAUUUCGUCACACACCAACCAAUUAGGGCUGAUUAGACUUCCAAGAUAAGUGAAGCU